UAGGCUGCAACUCGCCUACAUGAAGUCGGAAUUGCUAGUAAUCGCGGAUCAGCAUGCCGCGGUGAAUACGUUCCCGGGCCUUGUACACACCGCCCGUCACACCAUGAGAGCCGGUAACACCCGAAGUCAGUAGCCUAACCGCAAGGGGGGCGCUGCCGAAGGUGGGAUUGGUAAUUGGGGUGAAGUCGUAACAAGGUACC
rnacentral:rRNA from 1 species